rnacentral:rRNA from 1 species
UACGUAGGGGGCAAGCGUUAUCCGGAUUUACUGGGUGUAAAGGGAGCGUAGACGGCAGCGCAAGUCUGGAGUGAAAUGCCGGGGCCCAACCCCGGAACUGCUCUGGAAACUGUGAAGCUGGAGUGCAGGAGAGGUAAGCGGAAUUCCAUGUGUAGCGGUGAAAUGCGUAGAGAUAUGGAGGAACACCAGUGGCGAAGGCGGCUUCCUGGUCUGCAACUGACACUGAGGCGCGAAAGCGUGGGGAGCAAACAGG